CGCAGGGCGGGCUGCUGCGUGGCUUUGGCCCUGCCCUCCGGGCGGCCCUAGGCUGCCAGGGCCUUCGGGCCGCGCGCCUGCCCCUCGGGCUGCGGGUCUGGCCGCGGUGUGGGGACCUUAAAGCGCCCCGUGGUCUUUUGAAGCGCUCUGACAGCUCUGAAGGGCUUUGUAUUCCAAACUAAAUCGAAGCGCUUUGUAGUCCCGGAAGCGCUUUGGCGUCUCCGAAGUAGCACCGUGCAAACUGAAGCGCAUGGUGAUCUCGGAAGCACGUUGUGGGCUUGGAAACCAAACCGAAGCCUUUAGUAAAUUUCGGAUUGUUUUGACUUCUCCGAAGCGCUUUGGAAUUGCAAACUGAGUCGAAGCGCUUUGGCAUCUCUGAAACCUUGAGAACUGUGAUGGGCAGUGGAAAGAAGAGGGAAAGGUGCCCAUGGCGUCGGAGCGGCGCAAGGUCAAGUACCACUGGAGCAGCACGUCGGAAGGGUGUCCCAGCAAGCGCAGCUGCCUCCGGGAGCCCGGUGAUGUGGCCCCCUCCAGCCGGCCAGCUGGUAGCUCUGUGUCGCGCUCAGAAAGGGUCAGCAGCCCCAAGCGCCUGAAAGCCCCGAAGUUGGACGAUGUGGCUUGCACGCCGCGGUUAUCCUGGGGCUCAUCCCGAGGCAGAAAUUCCUCCUCGCCUUCUUCCAGCCCAGGUGUGGGCGGGGCCGCAUCCAAAGGGUGCCUGAUUCGGAGCACUCGCGGGUUCCUUUCGUCAGGGGGAUCCCCUCUACGCCCUGCCAACCCCUCUCUAGAAGAAAUGGCUUCUCUAGAGGAGGAAGCCUGCAGCCUUAAGGUUGAUUCCAAAGAUAGUUGUCGUAACUCCAUGAACUCUGAAUGUGCAGCUGAAGCUGAGGGUCAGAAUGAUACAAUUGAGGAACCAAACAAGCUUCAGAGAAGGAAGAGGGAUAGACUUCGAGACCAAGGCUCCACAAUGAUCUACCUGAAGGCUAUUCAGGGCAUCCUGGGGAAAUCAAUGCCAAAAAGGAAGGGCGAGGCUGCCAUUAAGGCAAAGCCAAGUACAGGAGAGCAUCCCAGCCGUGGAGAAGGACCAGUCCGGAGUGAAGGACCCACCAGGAGUGGAGAAGGACCAGCUAGGAAUGUCAAGGUCACAAGUCCUCAGAAAGAGAAAGAGUCGGCCCCAGAGGUGGGAGUGAAGGAGGAAAAGACUGUGCCAGAGAGGACCAACUUCUGUGACAGGAGAGUGGUUAUAGACCCUCAGGAGAAACCCAGCGAGGAGCUACUUGGUGACCGAAGGACAGUCGUUGACAAACAUUCGCCCCGCCUGGAGUUUUUGGAUGACUCUGACUCUCACUUAGAAAUCCAAAAGCACGAAGACAGGGAGGUGGCGGGCGAGCGGCUCUCUUCAGGAAGCGACUGGUCUGAUGUGGACGAGGUCUCCACAGUCAGAUUCUCUCAGGAGGAGCCUGUCGCACUGAAACCCUCAGCAGCCCCAGAGCUGCCGCCUUUCCCCACAGACUACGUCAUGUACCCACCUCAUCUGUACAGCAGUCCUUGGUGUGACUACGCCAGCUGCUGGACCAGCAGCCCCAAGCCUUCGGCCUACCCCACCAUAGGCGGUGGCGGCACAGCCCCGGCUGGCAGGAGUAGCCGGGGUCUCCUGAGUGAUUAUUCCCCCAACUCUGCAGUGAGCUCCCAAAACACCUCCAGAGACUUGGAGGCCACAGAGGAAGGCAGAUCCCAGAACUCUAGGUCAUUUUGUUUCUCCAGAAGCUCAGAGGAAGAGGUGAAGGAGAAAAGAACAUUCCAAGAGGAGACGCCACCACGUCCUUGUGGAGGACACACAUCUAGCUCCCUUCCUAGGAGCCACCGGGAGCCAAGCCUGGAGGAGGGCUUCAUUGAUACCCAUUGUCACUUGGACAUGCUGUAUUCCAAGUUGUCUUUCAAAGGGACUUUUACCAAGUUCAGAAAAAUUUAUAGCAGCUCCUUCCCUAAGGAAUUUCAGGGCUGCAUCUCUGACUUCUGUGAUCCUCGGACACUGACAGAUUGCCUGUGGGAAGAGCUGUUGAAAGAAGAUCUGGUUUGGGGGGCCUUUGGCUGUCACCCUCAUUUUGCACGUUACUACAAUGAAAGUCAAGAAAGAAAUCUUCUGCAAGCCUUAAGGCACCCCAAGGCUGUGGCAUUUGGGGAAAUGGGCUUGGAUUACUCUUACAAGUGUACCACGCCUGUCCCAGAACAGCACAAGGUAUUCGAGAGACAACUACAGCUGGCUGUGUCUCUAAAGAAGCCCUUGGUGAUCCACUGCCGAGAAGCUGAUGAAGAUCUGCUAGACAUCAUGAAAAAAUUUGUGCCCUCUGACUACAAGAUCCAUAGGCACUGCUUCACUGGCAGCUACCCAGUCAUCGAGCCCCUGUUGAAGUACUUUCCCAAUAUGUCUGUGGGCUUCACGGCAGUGCUGACAUACUCCUCUGCCUGGGAGGCCCGGGACGCUCUGAAACAGAUCCCACUGGACAGAAUCAUUGUGGAAACUGAUGCUCCCUACUUCCUUCCUCGCCAGGCAGUGCAAAGCCCUACCCUGUAGAGGGUAGUCCAAGGAAGCGUGGGACCCUGCUCACCCAGAGCCCCCAUGACUAGGACUCUCCCUGCACCUGCAGGUCCCCAAAAGCCUUUGCCAGUAUGCCCACCCGGGCCUGGCCUUGCAUACGGUUCGCGAGAUCGCCAGGGUCAAAGAUCAGCCGCUCUCCCGCACCUUGGCCACCUUGCGUGAGAACACCAGUCGCCUCUACAAUCUUUAAGCAGAACAGGCACAAUCAGGAGUCUCUUGGAAAAGGUCAUAAAAUUCACAUUAUAUGUUUUUCAGAAAUUGGGACAAAUUUUUUAUUGCAUUUUCUUACUAUAAAGCAUGUAAAUCUAGGGUGAGCAUGAAGCUUGCUUUGUGUCACGUGAACCUGGUUUGGAACCUUCUUCCUUUUCUCUUCAAACUCUCCAGGGUGACUGGCGGCCUGACAUGACAUAGGCUGGGUUUGAACUCUGCCUGUGCCCCAGGUCAAGGAUGUGUUUGGAGAGCCCGUCAGAACAGAGAAAACCAGGACAGGACAUUUCCUCGAAACCUCGUCAUAAGGCUUUGGCUUCUGGCUGGUGGGUGGGGUGGGUGGAGUGGAUGUGGGACGAGGGUGUCACUGCCCCGAAUAGCAUCAGGGUUUUGCCACCCAUCCAGAAUACUCCAGGGUAGGCACUGACGAAGAAGAGUUUGCCAGUCCAAGUCCUGUUCUCUGCAGCCUGUAUUUUUGAGCAGUCUGUGAAUAAAGUCGCCCUCCUCCUCGGCUAAGCACAUGUGGGUGUGUAACUCAGUUCCUGGUUCUCAGUUCUAAAAAUGAGCUCCCAAGUGGGAAAUCUCUUGGGAAAUUCACUGGACACCUGUCUCAGAGGUUUAUUUUCUUGAAACCAGUGAAAGUGAAGUCAUCCUCCUCCUCUCCUGGGUAACUCCUCAGCUUGGCUGUCCCUGUUCCCAUGUCAACUCCAGCAUCAGCGCAGGUGGAAGGACUUCGGCUGCUGGGCUUGCUGGUCCCGCUGCCGUCAGUGUGGAGGUGUGCAGGGGGGCGCUCGUCCAUGGACAUCCUGGCUGACCGAGAUCCAGGACAGCCUGGGGGCCUCAAGCAAGAGGACCUCCUGAAGGAGGUAACUUAUGCCCCCAGGAUGCUUUUUGGGUGUGUUAAAUGGAAAAAGGCUCAGUUUGCAGCAGAAACUACCUGCUAGUCUGGUGUCAGGCGUCCCAGCCUCCCUUCUUGCCCUCUUCUCUGGAACACUUGACCAAAAAUAAUCCUUCUUCUGCUUCACCCCAUGUGUCGGCCCCAGUGUGUCCCACCCAGGUUGAGAGAUCAGUCAGUUUCAAUCUUUGGCUCUCUGCUUGGGCAGCUCAGCCAGUCAUACUGCCUAUGCAGAAAAAGUAGGUCUGAUGUCUAUCAAUGCAUCAGUCCCUCUCCCGGCUGUCUCCCUUGCCUUUGCCUCUUCUGUGUCCUUUCUCUGUGUUUUAGAAGUGAGAGACUCUCCUUCGACUUUUGAGCAACUGUGUCAUCCCGUGUUCUAAGCUUUGCUCCGCUCCUCUCCCUGCAGGGGCCUUGUAAAGGUACACUCAUUACAGGCCUUAGAGAUUAUAUGGGUGAGGAGACUCUACACUUUGUUUAUAAAGGAUCCUUCACCCUCAUUUCCUGCAGUGAGACAGGCCACCUAGAGUCCCUUGUCUGUUUCUUGGAGGCUUAAAUUGUAAAAUCCAUCACUGUGGUGGAUUCCUCUAGGUGUUUGUGGAAGCACAUUGGAGCCUUGUGAGCUAAAAUAGAACGGAUUUGAUGUUUCACAUCUGCUAUUCCCAUCUUGUCCUGGCAUACAAGUAACUGGCCUGGGAAGUAGGCCUGGGUUCACUGUCCAUCUCCCAUGGAUCAGCUGUGCUGUUAAGGGUGCCUGUGCCUCAGAUUUGCCCAUGUGGGAGUCAGGAGGACCUUGGUCUCCUACUUGUAAGAUUUGGGGGCAGCUAAGUAUAUCAAAGUGCUUUAUUGUCACCCAGGUGAACUGCACCAUAGCCAUCUCUUCUACAGCAAGCCUUUUAAGUCAAUACUGCCUCCACAGGAAACUACCUUGCCCCGCAUUAGCGGAUGAAAAGACUAGAUGGAAGUCUGUAAGCUCAUGCAGUUCACCUGCCAAGGAAAAGCACAAGGUGCUAUCUACUUUUCUCUCUAGGAUUUAGGAUUAUCAUUUAUGUGCUGUUACACAGUGAAACCUUAGUUUGUGGGUGUGAAAGCAGAUUUGCAUUGUUUUUGAUUCAGUUUUUUUGAUGGCUGACUUGAUUGUUUUUGCUGUGCUCCUGGAAUGCCUCUGUAUUAUUUCCCCCCAUUUGGCCAUCUUUUUCUGUAAAUAAAGUGGUGGAUUCUCUAGCCAACUCCUAGGCUCUCCAUGUUUGUGUAGAUUUCUCUGAGUGAUACAAUGGUUCAUUGUGGUUGUUGGCCAGCUUUGUAACCUGAGAAUCCAAAUAUCUGGAGACUUUCUCAAGUAUACGUAUGUCUCUCUCCAUAAAAACUGUAUGUAAGACUAUGCGAUACCUUCUUGAAAGUUCUGCCAUGGAACUCUCAUAUUAAUGCCUGGGAACUCAGAUGCACUGCUUCUUCCUAACCUUUGAAGAGUACAUAGAUACCUUCUUUUCUUUUCUUUUUUCUAGACAAGGCAGUAGGAGGAAGAAAAAAUCUAGUCCCCAGGGGUGUUGAUGAAUCAGUUGUACUGUGGGCUUUGGACUGAACUCCUGAUGCCUCUGGGUAAACUUUGAAGGAAAUUCUGUUUUGCUACUUGCAGGCCUGUUAUUUUGUACUAAAGUAUUCCUGAACACAAGUGCACAAGCCAAAAAGUAAACCUACAUACAUGUAAAAAGGAAGGUUCUCAUCUAAGAAUGCUGAACAAAUUCAUAAUCUGUUGCCACCUCA